UACGUAGGGUGCGAGCGUUGUCCGGAAUUACUGGGCGUAAAGAGCUCGUAGGUGGUUUGUCGCGUUGUUCGUGAAAUGCCACAGCUUAACUGUGGGCGUGCGGGCGAUACGGGCAGACUGGAGUACUGCAGGGGAGACUGGAAUUCCUGGUGUAGCGGUGGAAUGCGCAGAUAUCAGGAAGAACACCCGUGGCGAAGGCGGUUCUCUGGGACGGUACUGACGCUGAGACGCGAAAGCGUGGGGAGCGAACAGG
rnacentral:rRNA from 1 species